rnacentral:rRNA from 1 species
AGUGAACGCUGGCGGUAGGCCUAACACAUGCAAGUCGAACGGCAGCACAGUAAGAGCUUGCUCUUACGGGUGGCGAGUGGCGGACGGGUGAGGAAUACAUCGGAAUCUACUUUUUCGUGGGGGAUAACGUAGGGAAACUUACGCUAAUACCGCAUACGACCUACGGGUGAAAGCAGGGGAUCUUCGGACCUUGCGCGAUUGAAUGAGCCGAUGUCGGAUUAGCUAGUUGGCGGGGUAAAGGCCCACCAAGGCGACGAUCCGUAGCUGGUCUGAGAGGAUGAUCCGCCAAAGUGGCACAGGUACGCGCGCCCGACUGCUAGGGGAGGCAGCGGUGGAGAAGAUUGGACAAGGGGCGCCAGCCUGAUGCAGCAAUAGCGGGUUGGGGACGAGGGCCUGGGGGUUGAAAAGCUCUUUUGUGGGGAAAGAAAAGCAGCAUCAUACUCCCCCGGUGUCCAGAGGGUACCCAAAGAAUAAGCACAGGCAAACUUGGUGCCAGCAGCCGGGUUAAUGAGGGAAGAGCACACGUCUGACC